rnacentral:rRNA from 1 species
UACGUAGGAUGCAAGCGUUGUCCGGAUUUACUGGGCGUAAAGGGCGCGUAGGCGGACAGUUUAGUCAGAGGUGAAAGCCCAGGGCUCAACCUUGGAAUUGCCUUUGAUACUGGCUGUCUUGAGUACGGGAGAGGUGAGUGGAACUCCGAGUGUAGAGGUGAAAUUCGUAGAUAUUCGGAAGAACACCAGUGGCGAAGGCGACUCACUGGCCCGUUACUGACGCUGAGGCGCGAAAGCGUGGGGAGCAAACAGG